CAAUCAGAAGGACCGCCUCCUGCCGGCCCAGAUCAGAUCCAGCUGGACCUGGACUCCCUGUCUGCUCAGACCCAGUCCAACCAGCAGGCCAUUGUCUUAGCCCUGCAGAAACUGGCUGAGAAGCAGGCUGCCUACCAGAUCCAUCAGUCUACUAACACAAUAUGAGUCUCCUGUCACCCUACCCAACCCCUCUACCCUCUUACCUGCUCAAUAGCUAGUUAGUGUCACCUAUAGGGUGUUCAUAUCAGGAUACAAAACUACUAUAAAUCUAUCAUACACUGUAAAGGGAUUUGUGCUUUUCUCUAGAUGAGUAAAGGGAAUCCACACAUCCUGCACAGCGGACUUACUGAGGGUAUUAAUAUUCCCCUGUGAACCUCUCUGUGACCCCAUGUACCACCCAGGACAGCAGCAGCAGGCACGGGUCAAGUGCAAUGCUAGGAAUGUACAUAUUAAGCUGACCAAUCUGAACCUGAUUAACAGGGUGCUGAGCAGAGGGGUUAUCACCCUGACCCGCGCGGUGCAACAUGGAGCUGUGACCCAGCGGCCUGUGAGGGUGGUCCACUCUGGCACAGGCCCCAUCAGCAGCACUACUAGCCUCAGGCAGUUGCGAGAUGAAGGGGGUCUUUGGGAUGGGGAAACCAAGAGACCCUACAACCUGGUUGAGAGGUGUCAGCCCCCAGCAGCAUCCCACUCCAGGCAGAUACCAGCUCCAGUUUCCCAUCCUGCAGCAGCAGAAGUUCCAGUCCCUCUGUUGGUCCAGAGCCACACCCUCCACCAGGGGAGCUGUGUGUGUACGUGUGUGCGCAUGUGCUGUUCCGGUGAUCUACUCCGUGUUCCAGUUACUGGGUGCAGACUGCGAGGCUCCUCUACAGGCUUGGCCUGGGGCCACCUGGCAACCAAAGAAAGGUGCCCUCCCUGGCCCUGCUCAACUGCUGCACAGCCGCAGACCCUCCAACCUGGAAAUUCAGCUUCUCAUUUAUCAACACAGAAAUUACAUCAAAAUAUUCCCUGUCAAGCUGCCGGCCCUUUGAAAUCCUAUGCUGGGAAGCUGGAAAACCAUUAGGUUGUUAGAUAGAUAUAUAAAGUGGCAGAGAAAAUAGCAUAGACAUGGGAUGUGGAAGGAAUGUCCGUGAAGCAUUCCCCAGCAACACAAGCAAAGGUACCUCUUAAAUAUUGUCAGGAGGAACAUGUUGUUUACCUGGUCUCUAGAAGUCAUUAAAGAUAAGUCUUGUCUAAACAACUAUGUGUUGCACUGCGUCCAACUUCAAAAUAUGUAGAGCGUGUUUUGAUAAAGGAUGUCACUUUUUUCAAAGCUAAUUGAUGUAGUUGUCUUUUAGAUCUGUG
rnacentral:lncRNA from 13 species